rnacentral:misc_RNA from 1 species
AAGGUCGUAACAAGGUUUCCGUAGGUGAACCUGCGGAAGGAUCAUUAAUGAAAUGUAAGGGACGCUCUUUUUGAGAGGUCCGACCCUAUUCAUUCUUUCACCCUGUGCACAAAGUUAUUUUUGACAUCCAUUUUCAAAGGCACAUAAAGUUAUUGAAUGUCUAUAGUCUCUUGAUUGAGCAUAAACAAAAGUAAAAG